rnacentral:rRNA from 1 species
GACGAACGCUGGCGGCGUGCUUAACACAUGCAAGUCGAACGGAAAGGCCCUGCUUUUGUGGGGUGCUCGAGUCGCGAACGGGUGAGUAACACGUGAGUAACCUGCCCUUGACUUUGGGAUAACUUCAGGAAACUGGGGCUAAUACCGGAUAGGAGCUCCAGCUGCAUGGUGGGGGUUGGAAAGUUUCGGCGGUUGGGGAUGGACUCGCGGCUUAUCAGCUUGUUGGUGGGGUAGUGGCUUACCAAGGCUUUGACGGGUAGCCGGCCUGAGAGGGUGACCGGCCACAUUGGGACUGAGAUACGGCCCAGACUCCUACGGGAGGCAGCAGUGGGGAAUAUUGCACAAUGGGCGGAAGCCUGAUGCAGCAACGCCGCGUGCGGGAUGACGGCCUUCGGGUUGUAAACCGCUUUCGCCUGUGACGAAGCGUGAGUGACGGUAAUGGGUAAAGAAGCACCGGCUAACUACGUG